CACGUAGGGCGCAAGCGUUGUCCGGAAUUAUUGGGCGUAAAGAGCUCGUAGGCGGUGUGUCACGUCGAUCGUGAAAACUUGGGGCUUAACUCUGAGCUUGCGGUCGAUACGGGCAUCACUGGAGUUCGGCAGGGGAGACUGGAAUUCCUGGUGUAGCGGUGAAAUGCGCAGAUAUCAGGAGGAACACCGGUGGCGAAGGCGGGUCUCUGGGCCGAUACUGACGCUGAGGAGCGAAAGCGUGGGGAGCGAACAGG
rnacentral:rRNA from 1 species